ACAAUAUUUCAAUUUUUAAUUAAGAGUAAGACAAAACGUUAUUAAACUAAUGUCAGCUGUACAAACUAGCUAAUUCCAAUGUCACGGUGAACAGGCGAACUGACUACCAGCGCUUUUCAUCAGAAUAGCUUUUUAUUACGUAUCUAACGGAAUAGUGUGCCGUAUAUUAUGGAGGUCCAAAGGUGAAGUGUGUCUGUUAGUGUCUCCGUUGCCCUUUUUACAUCCAACUCGAGCCCAUAGUUGACCGUUGAGUUUUCAUUUAAGCUAGCUAACUGUCAAAACGAAAGUAGCUAACGUCGGCUUCUGUGACGGUGGCCGCACAGCGACGACAUAUUCAGCCGUUUGUGUGCUGUGAACACGAUCUUCUUCUUCUGGUGUUUUGGUUUUCCUUGUUUCCAAGUUACUGCCACCUAGUGGUCGACACACUCUGCUACGUCACAGCCUAAGAGAGCAACAGUCAGUGUUGAUUAUGCGCCACAUAUCUGGAACAAACUCCCAGAA